UGCAGUCGACGCUUCUUUUUCCACCGGAGCUUGCUCCACCGGAAAAGAGGAGUGGCGAACGGGUGAGUAACACGUGGGUAACCUGCCCAUCAGAAGGGGAUAACACUUGGAAACAGGUGCUAAUACCGUAUAACAAUCAAAACCGCAUGGUUUUGAUUUGAAAGGCGCUUUCGGGUGUCGCUGAUGGAUGGACCCGCGGUGCAUUAGCUAGUUGGUGAGGUAACGGCUCACCAAGGCCACGAUGCAUAGCCGACCUGAGAGGGUGAUCGGCCACAUUGGGACUGAGACACGGCCCAAACUCCUACGGGAGGCAGCAGUAGGGAAUCUUCGGCAAUGGACGAAAGUCUGACCGAGCAACGCCGCGUGAGUGAAGAAGGUUUUCGGAUCGUAAAACUCUGUUGUUAGAGAAGAACAAGGAUGAGAGUAACUGUUCAUCCCUUGACGGUAUCUAACCAGAGAGCCACGGCUAACUACGUGCCAGCAGCCGCGGUAAUACGUAGGUGGCAAGCGUUGUCCGGAUUUAUUGGGCGUAAAGCGAGCGCAGGCGGUUUCUUAAGUCUGAUGUGAAAGCCCCCGGCUCAACCGGGGAGGGUCAUUGGAAACUGGGAGACUUGAGUGCAGAAGAGGAGAGUGGAAUUCCAUGUGUAGCGGUGAAAUGCGUAGAUAUAUGGAGGAACACCAGUGGCGAAGGCGGCUCUCUGGUCUGUAACUGACGCUGAGGCUCGAAAGCGUGCGGAGCAAACAGGAUUAGAUACCCUGGUAGUCCACGCCGUAGACGAUGAGUGCUAAGUGUUGGAAGGUUUCCGCCCUUCAGUGCUGCAGCUAACGCAUUAAUCACUCCGGCCGGGGGAGUACGACCGCAUGGUGGAAACUCAAAGGAAUUGACGGGGGGCCCGCCCAACCGAUGGAGCAUGUGGUUUAAUUCAAACCAACGCCAACAAACCUUACCGGGUCUUGACAUCCCUUUGGCCCCUCUUAAAAUAAAAGCUUCCGCCUUCGGGGGCAAAAGUG
rnacentral:rRNA from 1 species